GGUUAAAAAGCUCGUAGUUGGAUUUCUGCUGAAGCAAACCGGUCCGCCCUCUGGGUGAGCAUCUGGCUUUAUUUUGGCAUAUGCUUAGACUUUGCAGCUGCACUUGACUGUGUGGUGUGAAGGCUAAGCCAUUUACUUUGAGGAAAUCAGAGUGUUCCAAGCAGGCAAUUGGCUUGAAUACACUAGCAGGGAAUAAUAUGAUAUGACUGUGGUUUUAUUUUGUUGGCUUCUAGAAUUAGAGUAAUGGUUAAUAGGGAUAGUUGGGGGCAUUCAUAUUUAACUGUCAGAGCUGAAAUUCUUGGAUUUGUUAAGGAUGAACGACUGCGAAAGCAUUUGCCAAGGAUGCUUCCAUUGAUCAAAAACGAAAGUUAGGGGAUCGAAGACGAUUAGAUACCGUCCUAGUCCUAACCAUAAACCAUGCCAACUAGAGAUUGGAGAUUGUUAUGUGCAUGAUUCCUUCAGCACCUUAUGAUAAAUCAAAGUCUUUGGGUUCCGGGGGGAGUAUGGUCGCAAGGCUGAAACUUAAAGGAAUUGACGGAAGGGCACCACCAGGAGUGGAGCCUGCGGCUUAAUUUGACUCAACACGGGGAAACUUACCAGGUCCAGACAUAGUAAGGAUUGACAGAUUGAUAGCUCUUUCUUGAUCCUAUGGGUGGUGGUGCAUGGCCGU
rnacentral:rRNA from 1 species